AUCAUUGUAAUUCCGAUCUAUCUUUCAAUUAUUACUGCACUUGAAGAAGAUAAACGUUGUUCUUACAAAUGCCAUAUUUACUAUAUGUAGCUGUCAGUUUACCGAUCAUUUCACUUCAGUAAAAGGUUUCUUCGGUUGUAACAAGCUAUACAGAGUCUUUCGAUUUUUUGAAAAUAGUAUCUUAUUUAUUUUCAGUUUAUAUCACUUCAAAAUUCUUCCUCCGACUAAACCUCAAUUCAUUAAGAAAAUAUUUUUAUGAAGCACAUGCUUUAUAAAUUUUCUUUGCUUCCGUACAGUUAUUUUGAAUUUUUCAAGCCUUUUUUAUAUGGGUUUGGGACCUUUCUAGUUAGGGGAUCCCAUAUCUUUGAUACGACUGAUACAGCGGUAGCUACUAUAUGUAUUUAAUAAGUAGGAUUGUCUACUAAGUUUCCGUGGUGUAGUGGUUAUCACAUCCGCCUAACACGCGGAAGGUCCCCGGUUCGAUCCCGGGCGGAAACAUCUUUUUUUAUUUCGAUUAUAUAUAGUUUUGUUAAAGAGAAGAUUUCAGAAGAAUUAUUUUUGCAAUGGUUAUCAACCCCCUUAAUAAAAUGCAACGUUUUUUUAUAAUAAAUUCUCAUACUGAAAAAUGCGGGCUAACUUUUCAGAUUGUAAUUAGAAUCCUCAUUAUAUUUCCCGGAGCAUAUUAGAGGAAAAACUAAUUUAAAAAACAGAAGGAAAUUAAUUUGUCCUUUCAUAAUGAAAACUUAGCAAUGUUAAAUAUAUCACUAAUGUUUAUUUACUCGAGACACGAACAAAUGAAAUUAGUUGUGAAGUUCUAUUUAAUAAGUGUCGCUUGUCAGUAGGAAAAAAAAUAUUUCUACUGUUCCAGUCAGCCCUGAAUCGAAGGAGAGGCAGGUCCGGACCUAUGACUUUGUGGAUUCAAACGUUACGAGUUUUCUGAAAUUUUUGAAAAGAUAGGAUACCAAUUGUGAAAUACCAUAAAAAUCUUCACAACGAUCUGCUUCUACGAUUGUUAAACAGAAACUGAAAGUCUAAAAUGGCUGAAAUUCUAGUUUCAAGUUUGCCAUUCUAUAAUGGAUAUUAAACAGUGUAAUGCGAGCAGUGUAUGGCCCAAAA